AAAAGAUAAGGGCAAAGUUGUCUAAAGACAGCGACGCAAAGCCAUAGGGUCUAACGUGCCAAUGCACUAUGACAGCCUGGUUGCCGAA
rnacentral:ncRNA from 1 species